CGCAGUCUCAGCUGCAGACACACCCUGAAGGCCGCCCCUGGCUGACUGGGAGCUGGCUCCUUCCCCGUGCAGUCCCACAACAGGGAGGACUGGAGCACAAACUCAGGUCUCCCUCGGCCCUCUUCUCCCUCCCACUGUGGGCCAAACGCGGUGCAGAAGGCCUGAGGAGCCCAAGCACUGAUAUCCAGGUGCCAUCUGCUGAGCUAACAGAAACCAGCUGGUUGCUGGGUUCUACAAAGGGAAGCUUACAGCAAACUGAAAGCAUACUCAUUCUGGUGGUGCCCAAAGCACAGACUCCAUCACCACUGCAAAGAACAAGACCUGAGGAUGUUACAGCCAACACACUGAGAAUCACCAAAGUUGGAAAAGACCUCCAAGAUCAUCUAGGCCUUCCUAGCAGCUGGGAGUCCUCCAGAAACCCAGCUAGGAUAUCCAGCCAUGGCUUCAGCUGCCUCAUAGUCAGCCCCUGCAUGCGGCAACUGUGUGGUGAUGAUGUAAAACCACGAGAAUAGCUCAACUUGGUCAGAAGAGUAGAUUUCACCUGUAUUGCACUACUUCAAUCAAAGCAAGAGAAAUGAAUCUGCACAUACACAAGAGAAGCAAACAAGCGUGAGUUAACUGAAGAUGAGCCAGCAUAUGUCUUGUUAAGCCACCCUCAUUCAAAAUGAUGGAGAUGCAAGUGAUGAUGAUGGCAAAGGAAAUUCUACUGUCUGAGAGCACCUUUUCUCUCAAAAAAUGGCUAUAUAUGAAAUAGAUGUGAGAGCAUCCAUCCUUCUGGCUUCGUGUUAGCAAGCUUCUCUACUUUCUUUGAGCCUUCCAGUGCACGUUCUUUCAGACUUUUGUAUGAUGACCACGUAGUGUCACUACGCUCUCCUGAUGUUCCCAUCACAUUUCUAGAGAUCCAUCAGAUCUCACAUGUUGGGAAAAGACUGUUACUUUGCUCCAGCUAAGUACUUUUUCCAAAAUAUAUUGAAAACAAAGAGGAGAGAGCUCUUUUUUGGCCAGUGACCCCGCAAGCCAGAAGAGGCAGGUUGGCUCAGUCUGAUGUCAGCAACAAAAUGCCCAGCAUCCCGGUCCCGUGUGUUGUGUGGCU
ensembl:lncRNA